rnacentral:rRNA from 1 species
CAACUUGCGGAAACGCGAGCUAAUACCGGAUAAGCUCUGAGGAGGAAAGCGUGGGGAUCUGGCGACAGACCUGGCGCUUUAGGAGUAACCUGCGUCCGAUUAGCUAGUUGGUAGGGUAAAGGCCUACCAAGGCGACGAUUGGUAGCUGGUCUGAGAGGACGAACAGCCACACUGGGACUGAGACACCGGCCCAGACUCCUACGGGAGGCAGCAGGUGGGAAUAUUGGACAUGGGGAAACCCUGAUCCAGCAAUGCCGCGUGUGUGAAGAAGGCCUGCGGGUUGUAAAGCACUUUAGUUAGGGAGGAGUGUUUGAAGGUUAAGAGCUAUCAAGCAGGACGUUACCUAAAGAAUAAGCACCGGCUAACUCCGUG